rnacentral:rRNA from 1 species
AUCCUGGCUCAGAGCGAACGCUGGCGGCAGGCUUAACACAUGCAAGUCGAGCGGGCGUAGCAAUACGUCAUAGGCAGACGGGUGAGUAACGCGUGGGAACGUACCUUUUGGUUCGGAACAACACAGGGAAACUUGUGCUAAUACCGGAUAAGCCCUUACGGGGAAAGAUUUAUCGCCGAAAGAUCGGCCCGCGUCUGAUUAGCUAGUUGGUGAGGUAAUGGCUCACCAAGGCGACGAUCAGUAGCUGGUCUGAGAGGAUGAUCAGCCACAUUGGGACUGAGACACGGCCCAAACUCCUACGGGAGGCAGCAGUGGGGAAUAUUGGACAAUGGGGGCAACCCUGAUCCAGCCAUGCCGCGUGAGUGAUGAAGGCCCUAGGGUUGUAAAGCUCUUUUGUGCGGGAAGAUAAUGACGGUACCGCAAGAA